rnacentral:rRNA from 1 species
AAUGAACGCUGGCGGCGCGCCUAAUACAUGCAAGUCGAGCGAGAAGACGUAGCAAUACGUUUGUAAAGCGGCGAACGGGUGAGGAAUACAUGGGUAACCUACCCUAGAGUGGGGAAUAACUAGCCGAAAGGUUAGCUAAUACCGCGUACGCUCCUUGGACUUCGGUUCAGGGAGGAAAGCGAUGCCGAGGGUAUCGCGCUCUUGGAUGGGCUCAUGUCCUAUCAGCUGUUGGUGAGGUAACGGCUCACCAAGGCUUCGACGGGUAGCUGGUCUGAGAGGACGAUCAGCCACACUGGCACUGCGACACGGGCCAGACUCCUACGGGAGGCAGCAGUAAGGAAUAUUGCGCAAUGGGCGAAAGCCUGACGCAGCGACGCCGC